rnacentral:rRNA from 1 species
AGAGUUUGAUCCUGGCUCAGAUUGAACGCUGGCGGCAUGCUUUACACAUGCAAGUCGAACGGCAGCGCGGGGCAACCUGGCGGCGAGUGGCGAACGGGUGAGUAAUAUAUCGGAACGUACCCAAGAGUGGGGGAUAACGUAGCGAAAGUUACGCUAAUACCGCAUACGAUCUAAGGAUGAAAGUGGGGGAUCGCAAGACCUCAUGCUCCUGGAGCGGCCGAUAUCUGAUUAGCUAGUUGGUGAGGUAAAGGCUCACCAAGGCGACGAUCAGUAGCUGGUCUGAGAGGACGACCAGCCACACUGGGACUGAGACACGGCCCAGACUCCUACGGGAGGCAGCAGUGGGGAAUUUUGGACAAUGGGCGCAAGCCUGAUCCAGCAAUGCCGCGUGAGUGAAGAAGGCCUUCGGGUUGUAAAGCUCUUUUGUCAGGGAAGAAACGGUUGGGGCUAAUAUCCCCGGCUAAUGACGGUACCUGAAGAAUAAGCACCGGCUAACUACGUGCCAGCAGCCGCGGUAAUACGUAGGGUGCAAGCGUUAAUCGGAAUUACUGGGCGUAAAGCGUGCGCAGGCGGUUGUGCAAGACCGAUGUGAAAUCCCCGGGCUUAACCUGGGAAUGGCAUUGGUGACUGCACGGCUAGAGUGUGUCAGAGGGGGGUAGAAUUCCACGUGUAGCAGUGAAAUGCGUAGAGAUGUGGAGGAAUACCGAUGGCGAAGGCAGCCCCCUGGGAUAACACUGACGCUCAUGCACGAAAGCGUGGGGAGCAAACAGGAUUAGAUACCCUGGUAGUCCACGCCCUAAACGAUGUCAACUAGUUGUCGGGUCUUAAUUGACUUGGUAACGCAGCUAACGCGUGAAGUUGACCGCCUGGGGAGUACGGUCGCAAGAUUAAAACUCAAAGGAAUUGACGGGGACCCGCACAAGCGGUGGAUGAUGUGGAUUAAUUCGAUGCAACGCGAAAAACCUUACCUACCCUUGACAUGGCAGGAAUCCUUGAGAGAUCAGGGAGUGCUCGAAAGAGAACCUGCACACAGGUGCUGCAUGGCUGUCGUCAGCUCGUGUCGUGAGAUGUUGGGUUAAGUCCCGCAACGAGCGCAACCCUUGUCAUUAGUUGCUACGAAAGGGCACUCUAAUGAGACUGCCGGUGACAAACCGGAGGAAGGUGGGGAUGACGUCAAGUCCUCAUGGCCCUUAUGGGUAGGGCUUCACACGUCAUACAAUGGUACAUACAGAGGGCCGCCAACCCGCGAGGGGGAGCUAAUCCCAGAAAGUGUAUCGUAGUCCGGAUUGCAGUCUGCAACUCGACUACGUGAAGUUGGAAUCGCUAGUAAUCGCGGAUCAGCAUGUCGCGGUGAAUACGUUCCCGGGUCUUGUACACACCGCCCGUCACACCAUGGGAGCGGGUUUUACCAGAAGUAGGUAGCUUAACCGUAAGGGGGGCGCUUACCACGGUAGGAUUCGUGACUGGGGUGAAGUCGUAACAAGGUAACC